rnacentral:rRNA from 1 species
GGGCCCGCACAAGCGGUGGAGCAUGUGGUUUAAUUCGAUGAUACGCGAGGAACCUUACCAGGGCUUAAAUGUAACGGGACAGAUCUAGAGAUAGAUCCUUCUUCGGACAGAAUACAAGGUGCUGCAUGGUUGUCGUCAGCUCGUGCCGUGAGGUGUCAGGUUAAGUCCUAUAACGAGCGCAACCCUUGUCGUUAGUUGCCAGCACGUUAUGGUGGGAACUUUGAAGGAACUGCCGGUGAUAAGCCGGAGGAAGGUGGGGAUGACGUCAAGUCCUCAUGGCCCUUACGGGCCGGGCUACACACGUGAUACAAUGGUAACUACAAAGAGCAGCGAUGGAGUGAUCUUCAG